GGGCCCGCACAAGCGGUGGAGCAUGUGGUUUAAUUCGAUGAUACGCGAGGAACCUUACCAGGGCUUAAAUGUAAGUUGCAUAGAUCAGAGAUGGUCUUUUCUUCGGACUACUUACAAGGUGCUGCAUGGUUGUCGUCAGCUCGUGCCGUGAGGUGUCAGGUUAAGUCCCAUAACGAGCGCAACCCCUGUCGUUAGUUGCCAGCAAGUUAAGUUGGGCACUCUAGCGAGACUGCCAGUGCAAACUGUGAGGAAGGUGGGGAUGACGUCAAAUCAUCACGGCCCUUACGUCCUGGGCUACACACGUGCUACAAUGGCAGUGACAAUGGGUUAAUCCCCAAAAGCUGUCUCAGUU
rnacentral:rRNA from 1 species